rnacentral:rRNA from 1 species
GACGAACGCUGGCGGCAUGCCUAACACAUGCAAGUCUAGGGGUAGCAAUACCACUGGCGCACGGGUGAGUAACACGUAGGUUAUCUGCCCCUAUCACAGACAUAACCCCGGGAAACCGGGGCUAAUAUCUGAUGAGGUCGCGAGAUCAAAGCUUCGGCGGAUGGGGAUGAGCCUGCGGCUGAUUAGCUAGUUGGUGAGGUAAUGGCUCACCAAGGCGACGAUCAGUAGCUGGUCUGAGAGGACGAACAGCCACACUGGAACUGAGACACGGUCCAGACUCCUACGGGAGGCAGCAGUGAGGAAUAUUGGUCAAUGGGAGCAAUCCUGAACCAGCAAUGCCGCGUGUGGGAUGACAGGGCUUCGCCUUGUAAACCACUGUCGGACGGGACGAAAGGAGGCCUCGGGCCUCUGGGACGGUACCGUCAAAGGAAGGGUCGGCUAACUACGUGCCAGCAGCCGCGGUAAU